rnacentral:rRNA from 1 species
UACGAAGGGGGGCUAGCGUUGCUCGGAUUGACUGGGCGUAAAAGGGCGCGUAGGCGGUUCGUACAGUCAGACGUGAAAUUCCUGGGCUCAACCUGGGGGCUGCGUUUGAUACGUGCGGACUUGAGUGCGGAAGAGGGUCGUGGAAUUCCCAGUGUAGAGGUGAAAAUUCGUAGAUAUUGGGAAGAACACCGGUGGCGAAGGCGGCGACCUGGUCCGAUACUGACGCUGAGGCGCGAAAGCGUGGGGAGCAAACAGG